rfam:Triticum aestivum genome assembly, contig: Triticum_aestivum_CS42_TGACv1_scaffold_082565_1DS
CUUAUACUCCCUCCGUCCGGAAAUACUUGUCGGAGAAAUGGAUGUAUCUAGAUGUAUUGUAGUUCUAAAUACAUCUACUUUUAUUCAUUUCUCUGACAAGUAUUUCCGGACGGAGGGAGUAUGAU